rnacentral:misc_RNA from 1 species
UUUCCGUAGGUGAACCUGCGGAAGGAUCAUUAUUGGAUUUUGAAACCUCAGGCUGCUGCUGGCUCUCCUCGGAGGGCAUGUGCACGCUUGUUGUCCAUUAUUUCUCCCACUGUGCACAAAUUGUAGACCUUUCAGUAGGCCUAUGUUGUUUUUCACAAUCUCUGAAUGUAAUAGAAUGGUUUUGAAUCUUGGGAAAUACAAUACAACUUUCAGCAACGGAUCUCUUGGCUCUC